UACGAAGGGUGCAAACGUUAUUCGGAAUCACUGGGCGUAAAGGGUGCGUAGACGGCAUGUUAAGUUCGUUGUUAAAGGCUCCGGCCUAACCGGAGUACCGCGAUGAAAACUGGCGUACUAGAGGGUGAGAGAGAGAAGUGGAAUUCCUGGAGUAGCGGUAAAAUGCGUGGAUCUCAGGAGGAACACCAAUGGCGAAGGCAGCUUCUUGGCUCAUUACUGACGCUCAGGCGCGAUAGCGUGGGGAUCAAACAGG
rnacentral:rRNA from 1 species